GCUGAAAAUUGCUGCCAUCAACUUAUUUCGACAUGUGAAGUCAAGCAGGCCUGUUAAUCAUGUCACUGCACUAGGUGCUUACAUGGCACGUGAGCACAGGCAGAAUUUGCCUUGCACCGGUGGAAGCAGGCAGCAUCACCGGCAUGUCAUUCAGUGCCAUGGCAGGGAAAAUGAGGCAGAGGGACAGGAAGUGAGUUGUCCAAGACCUUACAAUGAGUCGAUGGCAUAGCCAGGAAUAGAACCCAGGAGUCCUGAUUCCCAUCUCAGACCCCUAUGCAGAAUGCACAGCUCUAAAAGGCCGUAUAGAAGAUGCACAGAGCCAAGGUAUGAAUUUUCCAUGGGAUCCAGAGCUCAGUGCGCCCUGUAGGAAAGUAACUAGGACCAACUGAGUCUGUGAAGACAUGAAAACAGUAUCCGAGCUGUCUGCUUUUCAGUGGUGAGUAUGUGUAUGUUGAAGUUGAAACCAGGAUGUAUUUUUAAUGAUGCAGGCAGGGCUGGGUUUCUUUAAAUAAGAUGAAACAGUGAAUACAGGCUCUGUAAACUGUGUAGUGCACCACAAAUGCAUUAUUUACACCAGCUCCUGCCACGUCCAUUUUAAUUUUAAAUGGGCUUUCCUGUAUGCACCAAAGAAAGCAACAGAACUAUUAUGUCUCUUCUGUCUCCCCACAUGUUGCAUGCCACGAGGAAACAGAUCUGACCUGUUAAAGGGUUUGGGGCAGCUCCAUCCACUGACUGAAUUUUAGCAGGAGCAGCCAGAUACUCUGAUAUGAUGAAUGACAGUUGGAAUUGGAAACUGAGUCAGCAAAUGUGAGGAUACUGGAAAUAACUAUCCUGGUGACUUCUCCUCAUACAAAAUAAGUUAUAGAAACAAGAAUUUGAAUUGUGCAGUGGUUGGAACAGGCAACUUACAGUCAGGAGACCUGUAUUCUAUUCCUGAUUCUGUCACUGACCCUUCAUGUGGCGAGUCAUGUCAUUGCUCUGUGCCUCAGUUUCCCCAUUUGUGAAAUAGGAAUAAUGCUACUUAAACCUCUUCUCUGAUGAAAGCUGCAAGGUAAGUGUAAAGCCUGAUUAUCAUCCUAGGAGAGGACACAAAAGAUACCUUUUAACCUGAUACUAUAUUUUUUCAGUUCCAGAUGGAAAAAGAUUAGUAUAAAACUAGCUGGAACUGAAAGUCUAAAUCACAGCAAUCACCCUCUCCAAUUUAAACCAGAUGGGAGUGCAAUCCAUCCUGUGCAAUACUCACAUACGGAGCACCACCUCUACUGCUGCUGCCACUUGUUGGAGGAGCAGAAAGCCUUGUUUGGAUAGAAAAUGCCACCUGUGGUCCCAAAUGCCACCAAGAAACCUGAUCUGCAAUGCAAAGAGUCUAUAACUGCACCUGGCUGUAGAGAGGAGAUGGGGAGAGUGUGAGCUGAAAAACACAGUGAAUGUUGCACAGUGAAGAAGCUGGUGGUUGUGGUAUGAAGGGAGGUGGGGACUUGGCCAAGGUGGCAGAUGGCUCUCAGAGAUAUGGCACUCUUCUAAUGAGCUGAUUUGGCUGUGGAAAAGGAGUGAAUGCUCUGCACAAGUACAGUUCCCAGUUCCAAGUGCUGUCCAUCUUACUAGAUUAACUGACAGUCCCUGCUAAAAUGAUCCACAGUGAUGUACAUGUUAACAUUCAAACAGCUGUUCUGAGGUUUCUUUCAGUCAACAUUCUAUUGCAGUGAGUGGGCUUGCCUUAUCCGUCUCUUAGAGCUAUUGUUUCAGGCUGCCUGCAGACUCAGGCAGACAGCCCUGCAUCAUGCCACCUCUGCAACCAGAAAGGGCAAACAGUUUAUUUAUUUAUCUAUCUUUAAUUAAAGCUGAAAUGCUGCAGAAACUGCUGGGACCACCCAUGAAGUACUAUAUAUCCCCAAGUACCAGCUCCAGCCUGCCUACUUGUGUGUACAACGCUUCCCUUUAGAGGCUGGACUGUGCCAAAGCAGCUGUUUGCUUUGCUCUAGUGGUUUACUUAACACAGGGGCUGCUGUAAAUCACUGGGCAGAGGUCCUUGCUUUGGGGAGUUAAAGGCUGUGAGUUCUGUUGCUGAUGUAUCUUUGGCUGUUUGCCAUGUGACAGGAUUAUUAAAUAGAGUUAGACAUUCUCACACGAUUCUUUGUGGUGCCAAAGGGGUUGGGGAGAAAGUCUGUCUCUUACCUUCAAACUUCCC